GGGAGAUUAUUCUUUUUGUUCCAAAGCAGUGCUGACUUCCCAGGGCCUUGCUCGCUACCCAUAAACAGGUACUACUGUUCAGACCUCUCCCCAUAUCACCCCACCCUUCUGGUUCAUUUCUUUAUACAGCUGUCUCAACCUCUCCGGAGUCCCUGAAUCAAUCUCAUCCUACUGAGGACAGCCUUCUGUCAAAAGGUGAGUGCCUAAGUCUGAGGGAGAAUGACCUAGUGGGAAGGAUAAGCCCAGCACGGGGGAGGAGUCCUUUCACAAGACAAUCCUAGAACCAACUGAUGCCCGCUAACCUCUCUGGUGUCUCUUGGGGUUCCUAUGGUCUUCCUCCCUAUCAUCCCACAAAGCCACAGUCCAGUGCCUUGGCCCAGUUGGCUAGGUAGAGCAAGACUAGGUCUAUGUGAAUAUCUUGCGGGGCUAGACAAUAUAAUUGCCAUUGCAGGAUUCCCGAGCCACAGAGUUCGGGGAGAGAAUGCUCCUCUCGGCCACAAGUGUCCUGCUAGGGAGAUUUUCAGAGGGAUUCCCUUCUCUAAAGGCAGAAGACUGUACUCUGGAAAUACCUGGAUCAGAAGGCUCGGAGGGAGGGCCAGGGGUGUGGUCAUUGGGAAGCCUCUGUCCCCACAGGGAAGAUGGAGGACUACGAAACAAAUGUCCUACCUUGCUGGUAUUAUUACAAGACUUCCAUGGACUCUGUCAAGGACUGGUGCAACUGGACUUUGAUUAGCAGGUAUUACAGCAACCUGCGGUAUUGCUUGGAGUACGAGGCAGACAAGUUUGGCCUGGGCUUCCCAAAUCCCUUGGCAGAAAGUAUCAUCCUUGAGGCUCACCUGAUACACUUUGCCAACUGCUCCUUGGUG
rnacentral:lncRNA from 1 species